rnacentral:rRNA from 1 species
AACGAACGCUGGCGGCAUGCCUAACACAUGCAAGUCGAACGAAGCCUUCGGGCUUAGUGGCGCACGGGUGCGUAACGCGUGGGAACCUACCAUCAGGUUCGGAAUAACAGUUAGAAAUGACUGCUAAUACCGGAUAAUGUCUUCGGACCAAAGAUUUAUCGCCUUUUGAUGGGCCCGCGUUGGAUUAGCUAGUUGGUGGGGUAAAGGCCUACCAAGGCGACGAUCCAUAGCUGGUCUGAGGGGAUGAUCAGCCACACUGGGACUGAGACACGGCCCAGACUCCUACGGGAGGCAGCAGUGGGGAAUAUUGGACAAUGGGCGAAAGCCUGAUCCAGCAAUGCCGCGUGAGUGAUGAAGGCCUUAGGGUUGUAAAGCUCUUUUACCAGGGAUGAUAAUGACAGUACCUGGAGAAUAAGCUCCGGCUAACUCCGUGCCAGCAGCCGCGGUAAAGUAC